UACGGAGGAUGCAAGCGUUAUCCGGAAUGAUUGGGCGUAAAGCGUCCGCAGGUGGCCAUGUAAGUCUGCUGUCAAAGCGUCUGGCUCAACCAGAUAAAGGCAGUGGAAACUACAUAGCUAGAGUAAGGUAGGGGUAGAGGGAAUUCCUGGUGUAGCGGUGAAAUGCGUAGAGAUCAGGAAGAACACCGGUGGCGAAGGCGGCUUUCUGGGACGGUACUGACGCUGAGACGCGAAAGCGUGGGGAGCGAACAGG
rnacentral:rRNA from 1 species